ACAAUAUGAUUGAACUACCAAGUACAUAUGCAAUAAACAAUUCUCAUGAUAACAAAAUGAUGAUAAGCCAACAUCCUCAUCCCGCUAUCAUUGUGUUCAAGCAUCGUCAUCUAGUGGUGACUGCACAUCUAAUGCAUGUGCAAGCUUAGCCGCCUGUCAGCUUAUGCUGCAAAUUAAAUACGCACAAGUUGAGACUCCAGACAUUAAAACAAAUGAUAUUAGACCAUCACACACAAAAUUUUGAGGAUAAAAAAAAAAGCUAAAAGCAUGAGAUUAGUGUCAAUGGCUUCUCAGCAUUAUGUUAUUUAUCAACUAGUAUCCAUGUCUAUUUUCAUCUUCAUAUAACAUAGAGGUCUUUCCUACUCAAUUUCAGUCUUUUUCAUUAUGUAUGGUAAGCUUUUUUUGUCUCCUCAAGUACAACACAUUUGGACAUUUAAAUUCUCUAACCUGGAUUACUCUCCCAUGUUUGAGUGCUUCUAAACUUUCUUAGGGAAGUUUCCUCUAAUGCACUGCAUUCAUUGUCACCAAAGUUUAAAAUUAUAAUUUAGCUCUAAAUUGAAAUAUGUGAGCAUCAUUACAUCCCACACACAAUAUGAUACAAAUACAAAAUAUGUUCCCCAACUCCUCAGUUAUCUACACAUAACACGGAUACAAUAAAGGGAAUGGAUGAGUUGUGAAUCGAGAGAGAUUGGAGAGACAAUGGAUGCACCAGAGAAGAAACGACUUGGUUUCUCACAUGCCUCAAUCUGCACUACAUUGCUGCAUACAAGUUACACAGCUUCUCCUGCAAUUUUCAAAGGAAAAGUACAUGUUAUUUUUAGAAACCAUUGUUAUUAUGUAGCUAAACUAAAGACCCCUUGUGGAAUGUAAANNNNNNNNNNNNNNNNNNNNNNNNNNNNNNNNNNNNNNNNNNNNNNNNNGAGAUCAAUAUUGACCUGAAAAAAGGCACAGUUUCAAUGAUCUGCUAUCCUAAACCUAAAGUUCUUAGAUUGGUGCUAUGAGAACCAACAAAAUAGAAUUGCAGCAACGAAAGCAAUUAGAAAGGAAUGGCGAUUUCGAUCACAAGGGUCAAUUGAUCUUCAGUUGGAUCUAAAUGAGUUGGAGGCACCAAUUCCAUAAUUGAGAGCUAUUCAGUUGUGGCAACAUAAUCCACCCCAUUUUGAUAAUACGGAGAAAACAUUGCUUCGCAUUAGAAUGGAGAACAACAUUAUGGCAAUACAAAGGGCGCAAUACGGCAUGUUAAAAAUGUGCACAGUUUUUUUACACGCAAAUAGAAUAUUUCUAUCUGCGGUAGAGGAAAUAGUCAUCUUAUGCACAUAUGAAUACUUAUCAAAUACUGAUGAAGAAUAGUGUAAUUAAUCACAAAUGUCCGGGUGUGGAGUGACAUGUCUUCCAAAAUUUCAUCGGUGUUUGUAUUUGCACAGAUAGAAAUGUUCUAUUUACGCAUAAAAAAACUGUGCGCAUUAUCAGUAUUCUUCAUCAAUAUUUGUAUUUUUUUUAGUUAUUUAUAUUAUUUAGGAAAAAUUACACGCACCUCCCCUGAAGUCUAUUAAAAGGGCACUGACAUCCACUCUUAUUUUAAAACUUACACUAACCUCCCUUAAGGUCUUAUCAAAUAGACAACUACCUCCCUUUUUUACUAACACCGUUAGUUUACCGUUAACUCACUACGGACCAAGUAUAUUUCGAUCCCAUAUUUAAUCUCUGUUGAUUUUCCAUGAGAUUCAAUUUAUCACAAAUAUUGCAGUGUUAUUUCUUUUUGAAACAAGACAAUAUUAUUAGAACACUCGUUCGUACUACAAUACCUAUCUGAAUAAAGCAAAAAAGAAUACACAGCAGCCAAGACACCAACAACAUUGCCAAAACCAAAAGGCAAAACGAAAUCAAACACUACCUUUAACUGCCUAAGUCCUAAACCAAUAGGACAUACAAGCAAAUAGAAGAAAAAAACACACUCACACAGCUGCAACAAACUGGUGCACACCAACAAAAAACACAAACACCAUAAAGCUCAGUAAUACAAAAACACAACCCCCCAAUCUAAACACAGUACCAAGCCACAGAAAAACAGGAAGGCAACAACCAGUACAACAGCCAGAAAAACACCAAAACGACCACUACAACAAACCUCAAAACAGAACUGAUGCAGUCCCAACUUUAAUAGACCUCAGGGGAGGUGAGUGUAAUUUUCCCUAUUAUUUAUAUUUUGAAUUCCUCUAUUAUGUAUCCACAAGUGUAUUUAUUCCCUUAUAUAAAAGACAAAUAAAAGGAAUUAACCCUAAUUUCUCAAUUAAGCCUCACUAUAUUCCACAAAUUGCAAAUUGAACUUCAAAAAAGUUGCAAAUUGAACUUCAAAAAAGUUAACUAAAAAAUUAUUGUGUUGUCAUCAAGUUCAUCUCUUGUUUAACCCAUUAGUUAGAAAACGCAGUAUAAAAGCAAGCUAAAGAGAAACAACAUGCAAUCAAUCAAUACAUUGGAACGGUAGAGAGAUGAAGUUACUCCAUACCUUGGAAAUGCAGAGAACGGCAGAGGGGUUGUAGUUCUUCGAUUGCGGAGGGUUUGACGGAUUGUGGUUCGAGAUUAAACGGUGAAGGAGAAUGAACGGCGGUGGAGGAGAUUGAACUGUGGAGGAGUGAUUGAACGGCGAAGGGGAUUGUGCGAUAUACGAUUAGGGAUUUGGUCUUGUUUUGGGGUUUGAGAUUUUCCCCCCACUGAGAAGNNNNNNNNNNNNNGGAAUUUCAGUUGUGUUUUGGACUUUUGGUGGUGUGAGAGACAAGAAAAAA
rnacentral:lncRNA from 1 species